GAUGGACGCUGGCGGCGUGCCUAAUACAUGCAAGUCGAGCGAACGGACGAGAAGCUUGCUUCUCUGAUGUUAGCGGCGGACGGGUGAGUAACACGUGGAUAACCUACCUAUAAGACUGGGAUAACUUCGGGAAACCGGAGCUAAUACCGGAUGAUAUUUUGAACCGCAUGGUUCAAAAGUGAAAGACGGUCUUGCUGUCACUUAUAGAUGGAUCCGCGCUGCAUUAGCUAGUUGGUAAGGUAACGGCUUACCAAGGCAACGAUGCAUAGCCGACCUGAGAGGGUGAUCGGCCACACGGGAACUGAGACACGGUCCAGACUCCUACGGGAGGCAGCAGUAGGGAAUCUUCCGCAAUGGGCGAAAGCCUGACGGAGCAACGCCGCGUGAGUGAUGAAGGUCUUCGGAUCGUAAAACUCUGUUAUUAGGGAAGAACAUAUGUGUAAGUAACUGUGCACAUCUUGACGGUACCUAAGCAGAAAGCCACGGCUAACUACGU
rnacentral:rRNA from 1 species